rnacentral:rRNA from 1 species
UGGGGAAUAUUGGACAAUGGGCGAAAGCCUGAUCCAGCCAUGCCGCGUGUGUGAAGAAGGUCUUCGGAUUGUAAAGCACUUUAAGCGAGGAGGAGGGUACUGGUAUUAAUACUAUCAGGUACUGGACGUUACUCGCAGAAUAAGCACCGGCUAACUCUGUGCCAGCAGCCGCGGUAAUACAGAGGGUGCGAGCGUUAAUCGGAUUUACUGGGCGUAAAGCGUGCGUAGGUGGUUCGUUAAGUUGAAUGUGAAAGCCCCGGGCUCAACCUGGGAACUGCAUCCAAAACUGGCGAGCUAGAGUAGGGCAGAGGGUGGUGGAAUUUCCUGUGUAGCGGUGAAAUGCGUAGAUAUAGGAAGGAACACCAGUGGCGAAGGCGACCACCUGGGCUCAUACUGACACUGAGGUGCGAAAGCGUGGGGAGCAAACAGG